ACAACAACAUUCGGACCGUCGGUCUACCGAGCAAUAUCACCAGCUCGGUGGAAGAUCUUCCCUUUGUCGUAUACC
rnacentral:pre_miRNA from 1 species